rnacentral:lncRNA from 1 species
CUGAUAAUUCACAGCCCGGAAGGAACACUACCUUAUUUAGAUGUGCUGCCCCCAGAGGAGGGGGAAAGAAGGAGGAGGAGGGGGAUUUAGAAGCAGGUAGAGUAAAAGGAGAAGAUAGAAGGCACCGGUGAUUCUGAGAAUUCAAUGUAGAAGUGGGCCCUGUAUUCAGAAGUCAUUCAUUGGGACCCUGGCUUGUAGCUGUGUGGACCCCAUACUCUCUUCCUAUCCCAAACCUUCCUAUUCCACCAGGGUGCCCUUCUACAAGGGCCAGGACCUCCUCCAGGCCACAGCAGUCACCUGGAUGAUGAGGGCUCCAGGAGGCACCCUCAACCCUGGAAUUCUCUUUUUCAAAUAAGAGAUCCAGGUGAGAACCGUGAGGAUGGGCACUUGGACAGGAAGAGGUUGCUUUGGCCCGAGCAGCAACAACGUUGGUCACUCAAGCCUUCACCAGGUUCUGCUCCACACAGAAGGAAGGAAAGCCCAUCUCAUCAGGCCUUGGGCACCAACAACACAAAUAGUUCCUUGCUAGCAAUACAUUUUCCGAUAUGUUUUUGCUUCUUCCUCUAACGUUUAACCUUGGGUAUAUUUCAAAAGAAACGCAAGUCUGCUUGCUUCUGAUUCAUACUCACUGAGAUCAUCAAAACCAGAAUUAUUUGGUAAUAGCUGCUGGGUUUACUGGAUGCCCUCUGGGAUCUGUAAAAUCUCUAUUCCUCAGAAACAGGAAGUUUCAACAAGAGGAAGGAGGCUGGUUGCAAAAAUCAAAAUUUGAAUCUUCUCCACCUAUUGGAGAGCCCAGCGUUCAUGGCACUUCCUUCAGCCAGUUAACAAAUGUGGAUUCGGUGCCUACUGUGUGCAGGAACUGGGGACAGAGAUGAUUUUUUAAGGG